AAGCCGAUGAGGAUUAGUCUCUUUUAGUUGGAAUUACCGGCUGAAUUUAUUUUGAUGUCAAAUUUUUGACUGGCUCUGUCUGAGGCUUCUU